AUUGAACGCUGGCGGCAUGCCUUACACAUGCAAGUCGAACGGCAGCACGGGGCAACCUGGUGGCGAGUGGCGAACGGGUGAGUAAUGCAUCGGAACGUACCUUUCAGUGGGGGAUAACGUAGCGAAAGUUACGCUAAUACCGCAUAUUCUGUGAGCAGGAAAGCGGGGGAUCGCCAGACCUUGCGCUGAUUGAGCGGCCGAUGUCAGAUUAGCUAGUUGGUGAGGUAAAGGCUCACCAAGGCGACGAUCUGUAGCGGGUCUGAGAGGAUGAUCCGCCACACUGGAACUGAGACACGGUCCAGACUCCUACGGGAGGCAGCAGUGGGGAAUUUUGGACAAUGGGGGCAACCCUGAUCCAGCCAUGCCGCGUGAGUGAAGAAGGCCUUCGGGUUGUAAAGCUCUUUCGGCCGGGAAGAAAUCGCACGGGCUAAUACCCUGUGUGGAUGACGGUACUGGAAUAAGAAGCACCGGCUAACUACGUGCCAGCCGCCGCCGUAACAC
rnacentral:rRNA from 1 species